rnacentral:rRNA from 1 species
CAGCAGCCGCGGGAAUACGGAGGGUGCAAGCGUUAAUCGGAAUUACUGGGCGUAAAGCGCACGCAGGCGGUCUGUCAAGUCGGAUGUGAAAUCCCCGGGCUCAACCUGGGAAUUGCAUUCGAUACUGGGAAGCUAGAGUAUGGGAGAGGAUGGUAGAAUUCCAGGUGUAGCGGUGAAAUGCGUAGAGAUCUGGAGGAAUACCGAUGGCGAAGGCAGCCAUCUGGCCUAAUACUGACGCUGAGGUACGAAAGCAUGGGGAGCAAACAGGAUUAGAUACCCCGGUAGUCCCUGUCUCUUAUAA